CCUACGGGUGGCUGCAGUCGAGAAUCCUUCACAAUGGGGGAAACCCUGAUGGUGUGACGCCGCGUGGAGGAUGAAGGUCUUCGGAUUGUAAACUCCUGUCAAGUGGGAGUAAACCUGCGCGUUAACUGCGUCGCCGUUUGAGAGUACCACUAGAGGAAGAGCCGGCUAACUCUGUGCCAGCAGCCGCGGUAAUACAGAGGUCUCAAGCGUUGUUCGGAAUCACUCGGCGUAAGGGGUGCAAGUGCGAUGUGAAAUCCCGGGGCUCAACCUCGGAAUGGCAUCCGAUACUGGAUUGCUUGAGGACUGGAGAGGAGUCUGGAAUUCAUGGUGGAGCAGUGAAAUGCGUAGAUAUCAGGAGGAACACUAGUGGCGUAGGCGAGACUCUGGACAGUUCCUGACGCUGAGGCACGAAGGCCAGGGUAGCAAACGGGAUUAGAUACCCUAGUAGUC
rnacentral:rRNA from 1 species